rnacentral:lncRNA from 1 species
AAGCAGUUUGACUCCCUAGAGUACAGUGAAGGCACUGUUUAUCUACCGGAUGGAUCGAGCUAUGCGAAUAGUGGCAUCAGAACAGUCAGCUGGAGGACACAUGAUGGUGUAGUGAGGAGAUUGGAGAAGAUCCGAUACAUAUCCGAUUUCAGACAGAAUCUUAUCUCACUGAGUAGAUUGGAUUCGAGAGGCUACAAGACGAUAGCUGGUGGAAGAAUCCUAAAGGUAUUACGCAGCGAUAAGAUUAUUCUAAAAGAAAAGAAGAGGAUGAGAGAACAUUACUAUCUGAUGGAGAGCUUAGUGCGAGGUGGAGCUUCAGGAGCAAGGAGGAGUCCAGAGUGAGGUGGAGCUCCAGAUGGUGGAUCGGGUACUAGAUAGGAGA